AGAAGCUUAAAAGGGCCAUGGUGGUAAUAGUACAGAAAUCAGGCAAAUGCUGCAAAACAGGACUUUUUUUUUUUUUUUUUAAGAGCUGAUUGUUAAACAUUUACCAGCACACCAUUACAGAGCAUUAAAUAACACUGGAAACUUCCUACUCUUGUACUGACUAAACCCAAAGGCCCAAACUUCUAUGGAGAUAGUGUGGAGCCCUGGAAGGAAGGCCAGGGAAGAAAGCCAGGGACUGACCCAAACCACUUAACCACUGUUAUCAGGAUGAGGAAACAAGCUCAGAGAGGUAAUGGGACUCACCCAAGACCACACAGCAGGACAACUGUUGAGCUUACAUUUGGAUCCAAAGUCCUGGUUCUUCGGAGAGGUUCUUUAGAGCUGCAUGUCUCCUGUCCCUGCACAGCACCUAAGGCAGGGUCUGAACUUCGGGAAUAACUAGGACCAAAGUGAUCGGGAGGAGCAGGCAGGAGGGGAGCUGGGGGAAGGACCCAGAAGUCCCAACCCUGCAGUUUUGUCCUCUUCCAGGACCUUCACAGCCUGAGGCAGAGGCCUGUACAAAUGAGCAGCAGGACAGAACGUUCCAGCAGCCAGUGACUACAUCAGAGGCACAAAUAUUUGCUAAGCCCAGGGGCCUCCCAGACAUUCUGGCAGGAUUGGGGAAAGCAAGUGUAUGGAGCCUCUCCCUGUGGGGCCAGGAAAUCCAGAGAAGAGAAACUUUAAAAAAAACAUAUGCGGUUGGCGUUAUGUCCCUAUUGGAAAGAACUACUAAAUGUCAGGUAACCUUGUAUCUUUGGGUUUGCUUUUACCAGACAACAUCACCGGGCUUUAUUAACUGAAUGCUCUGCAUCAGGUCCUGAACAGCUUCGGCGGGGGGCGGGUGGAGACGGGGGAGAUACUGCGCCAGCCUUCGGGGAAGCUGCCAAGCCCCUCUUGGCUCUCAGCUCAGCCUGGCUGAGUCCUCCUGCAGUCCUGCCUCCACAGGACACUCAGGCCAGCAGAAGGCUGGGCAGAGGGCUCUGAGGACUGCCAAGGCUCUGGGAACUUAGGGAAGGAGCUUCGUGCAGGGCAAGGGUUCAGAAGACAGCGUAGCCCGUGGCCAGGAACCAUGGUUGGCCCUUGAGAGCUGUUCCCAUGGCCAGGACCACAGACAGGCCUUUCAGCUGCCCCAGUCCCAGGCCUCACUGCCCAGCACCUCCUGGCCUCCCAGCAACAGAGCCUUCCACCAGCCUUGCCAGCACCACCUGGCUGUGAUGGAACAGGCUUCUCUGCUCUCUCAUUCUCUUUGCCACCUCCCGGCCCCCAGGCUCUGCUUGAUUAAAAGAUAUUUCUGAUAGUCAUUCAGGGGUACAGGUGGCAGUUUGGGGGAAAAAAUAUCCCAGGCUCAAAAAAGACAACUACAGCUGGUGUUUCUGAUUAACAGCCCACACCUAGCAAUUUGGAGGGAUGGUCCUGCUUGGUAUGACCCAGGUUUAACCCAUGCAGCUGAUACAAAUGUGACAGCUUUACAGCCAUGUAAAGCUAACCAGACCUG
rnacentral:lncRNA from 1 species